UACGGAGGAUCCAAGCGUUAUCCGGAUUUAUUGGGUUUAAAGGGUGCGUAGGCGGCCUGUUAAGUCAGGGGUGAAAGACGGUAGCUCAACUAUCGCAGUGCCCUUGAUACUGAUGGGCUUGAAUGGACUAGAGGUAGGCGGAAUGAGACAAGUAGCGGUGAAAUGCAUAGAUAUGUCAUAGAACACCGAUUGCGAAGGCAGCUUGCUGGACCUGUAUUGACGCUGAGGCACGAAAGCGUGGGGAGCAAACAGG
rnacentral:rRNA from 1 species